rfam:Ictidomys tridecemlineatus contig051041, whole genome shotgun sequence.
GGGGUUGUGGCUCAGCGGUAGAGCACUUGCCUAGUAUGUAUGAGGUGCUAGAUUCGAUUCUCAGCACCA